UACAGAGGUCCCGAGCGUUGUUCGGAUUCAUUGGGCGUAAAGGGUGCGUAGGCGGUCGCGCAAGUCGGAUGUGAAAUCUCAGGGCUCAACCCUGAAACUGCAUUCGAUACUGCGUGGCUAGAGUGCUGGAGAGGAGACUGGAAUUUACGGUGUAGCAGUGAAAUGCGUAGAUAUCGUAAGGAAGACCAGUGGCGAAGGCGGGUCUCUGGGCAGUAACUGACGCUGAGGAGCGAAAGCGUGGGGAGCAAACAGG
rnacentral:rRNA from 1 species